rnacentral:snRNA from 1 species
GUGCUCACUUCAGCAGCACAGAUACUAAAAUUGGAAUGAUACAGAGAAGGUUAGCAUGCCCCCUGUGCAAAGAUGGCACUCAAAUUUGUGAAGCAUUCCAUAUUUUU